rnacentral:rRNA from 1 species
GGCGGCGAGUGGCGAACGGGUGAGUAAUACAUCGGAACGUGCCCAAUCGUGGGGGAUAACGCAGCGAAAGCUGUGCUAAUACCGCAUACGAUCUACGGAUGAAAGCAGGGGAUCGCAAGACCUUGCGCGAAUGGAGCGGCCGAUGGCAGAUUAGGUAGUUGGUGAGGUAAAGGCUCACCAAGCCUUCGAUCUGUAGCUGGUCUGAGAGGACGACCAGCCACACUGGGACUGAGACACGGCCCAGACUCCUACGGGAGGCAGCAGUGGGGAAUUUUGGACAAUGGGCGAAAGCCUGAUCCAGCCAUGCCGCGUGCAGGAUGAAGGCCUUCGGGUUGUAAACUGCUUUUGUACGGAACGAAACGGUCUUUUCUAAUACAGAAGGCUAAUGACGGUACCGUAAGAAUAAGCACCGGCUAACUACGUGCCAGCAGCCGCGGUAAUAC